GAACGGCCUUGGCUGACUGGUCACGGUGUUCGCUUUGUAAGCGAAUAGUCCUGGGUUCGAUUCCCAUCUGCUCC
rnacentral:tRNA from 1 species